rnacentral:lncRNA from 1 species
GGAGGUGACGGGCGGCGGCAGGUGGGGGUCACAGCGGGCGCGGAGUCCCUGCCCUGGCAGCGCGGGCAGCCGGCACAUGUUGCAGCCAGAGCGGCCGGAGCAAGGCGGAGAGAGGCGCAGUCGGCUGGGCAGGGAUGAAAGUCAGGCCAGCUCAGCUCACCGCAAAGGGAUCCUCUCAGGAGCAUUGGGAGGUUAAAUCAGAGCUGGUGUCUCCUUGGUUAUUGGCCUAUGUGCCUAUAAGAAGCUGCCACGGAGUGCUGAAGGACAAAUAUGGGGAGUUUUCUCCUCCAGUAUUCCAUGCUGAUUUCCCUGUAAGCUUUUGGUGUAACUGGACAAUCUGGGCAGGCUCCAGGAAGCACAUCAUCAUUUAUAUCCAGGGAUUUAUCACUAAGGAUGCUUGCAACAAAAACGAGGACAAAAUUCUGUUUGAAGGAGUCUCCUCCCUGGUGGAAAACAGUGUUGUUUAUGCCUGCUGGAAAAAGGAGAUGCAUGUCUUUGCCACCUUUGCUCAGGCUGUCCAUGUUGUGCUGCUGAAGAGGUACUUGCCAAACCAGAGAGAUGCAAGAUUUAAAGGGAAGUACUACAUCUUCCAAGACCGGCAAGGUGCCUCUUCCUCCAAAGAUGACGUGAUUUCUGGAACUUCUGCUUCAAAACUGCCAAAGAAAGGUGGUGGUUUUCAGUCUGGCUGGGUUGAAAACUUUAGAGAUGCACUGGGCUUUGCAACCACACGUGGAAGCACCACUGUGCUAAGCAGUGAACGGAUGCAGGGAAGAGGGACCACUCUGGACACCACGGCUUGGGGAAGUCCUACAGAACUUCUCCCAUAUGAACGUGCAAGCACACAGGCUCUAAAAACAACAGCUCCUUGUGGGCUGGGGUCUGAGCUGCUGGAGGCUCAGGAAGCUCCAGGUAUAGGAACACCUGAGGAAAUAAUCCCCACUGCAGCUCAGGACAUCUGGGGGCAGAAUCCCUCCAUGAGUGAGGGCACUGCUGUGAGUUCUGCUCCUGUGCACAGUCUGCUUUUGGAAACUCCUUUGCUUGGUGCCUUCCAGGGAGCAGAACCUUUUUGGCAGACAGCAGAUGUGAGUCUGGAGAGCAGCCAGCCUGUCCCGAGCCCUACACUGAGGCCAAAAGGUCUGGGCCACCUGCAGCUUACCAUUAAACCAACAGGCACGGGUCGCCUGGCCUUGGCUGCACCCCCUGAGCCUCUGUCCCCUGGCACAGGUCCCACCAGGGACAGCCAGCUUAGCACAGCCAGCCUGGAGAAGGAAGGAAGCCCUGCCUUGCUGAGUGUCCCAGCUGAUGGCCUCACCAAGGACCUGAUGCCCAGCCUGAGGAACCCCUCUGAUGUGGCCACCAGGGACCAUUUGCAGCUACUUCCUGAGAGAAGCCAAAGCAGUCUGGGGCCUUUGUCCAUGCCUAAAGCUGAGCUAGGCACAACCGGCCUCCAGCAUACCAAGCUCAUGGAUAUUUUCUCACUGGGAAGUUUUGGGGGAGCUGUCAGGAGGAGAACAGCACUUCAUCCCACAGCACCAGCGCUAGACGUACCUGCUUUGGCAACAGGGCUGGAGCAUCCUCUCACAACUGUGCCUGCCCUAGGGACAGAAACCAUCCCUGUGCUGGUGACCUCCUCCACAGUGCCUGUCCCUGCAGGCUUUGGCUCUCUGGAUUUAAUUCCUGAAGCACCUCUUCCUCCACAAGUGGAGUCUCUGUCCAUGGUGCCUUUUCCAGCAGCUACUCUGGAUUGGGACCCUGUCAGUCUCAGGCAGAGGGACAUCUCCCCAGCUAGCCCAGGAGGACAGGAGAUGGUCUCCCCUUCACCACCUUGCCAUCCAUCAGUAGCCUCUGAACUGGGCACAGAUGGGUCCUCCAGAUGCUUUGGCCCUGGGAAGCAAAAGUCGGUGCUGGGACAGGGAAGUGAAACCUCAGCCUCUGUGGGCCUGAUGGCCGGGAGUCCCUCCCCUGUCAUUGUCACUGUCCCAGGGCCUGGUGUGAGGCUUGCUCAGCCUCAGGGCCAUGUCACUGGAGGCUCUGGGAUGACACCAGCUUCCCUGCCAGACACCAGAGAGGGGCAUGAGGUGCCUGUGCAGCAUCAGGACAGUGCUCUUAGUGACAAAUCAGCUUCUCUCUCCAGAUUCAGGGGGUUUAAAAAGCAGGGAGCCACAGAAGCUGUGCAAGUGGGUGCAGGACAGGGGACAGCUGCCUCCUUCAGCACCACUCCUGCACACCCUGAUCUGCCUGCAGCUCUGUCAGGAGAAACACUGCCAAGAGAUCAAAAGCCUUGGGAGCCCUCUGGUGUAACCAGAAACACCAAGAUGGCAGAAGGACAGCAAGGGAAACAUGCUGAGGUGUCAGAGCUGCCCCCUCCCUGGGUAACUGAGUACUUUCCCAUCAGGAGCUGCCACCUCAUCUUCCGGGAUGGGUCUGGCCUGUUCUACCUCCCACUGCAUGCUGACAUUAAUGCCAACAUCUGGUGCAACUGGACCAUCUGGGCAGGCCCCCAGAAGCACAUUGUCAUCUAUGUCCAAGGGUUCCAGGGGAACGAUGGCUGUGGCAACAACCAGGACAAGAUCAUCUUCCAGGGGGUCUCGUCAAGCGUGGAAACCAAAGUGGUGUUUGCCUGCCACAACCGAGGCACUCUGGUCUUUGCUGCACGAGCCACUGAGGUCCAGGUGUUGUUUCUGUCAGGGAGUGGUUCCAGCAGCCAUGAGUACAGGUAUUUUAGAGGGCAGUAUUAUGUAUUCAGAGACUCUGAAACUGUGGGCUCUUCAAGUGAUACCAUAGCAGCUCCCCAGGAGCCUGUCCAGGAGACCUCUAAAAAUGAGAGCUGGAGGACAGUAGUGACCAAAGGUUUAUUCUCCAUGCUGACAGCUCCUCCAGUCCCACCAGCUGCACCUGCUGGUGGCAGGAUCCAGCCUGGCAUUGUGAGCCCAGGAGAGGUGGGCCAACAAUCUCCUGAUCUCAUGGAAGAUGGCCAGUCUGGUGCUAACUGGAGUGAGCAUGGUCAGGAUGAAACCAGGCUGGAAAUGACCCUUGAGGACAGUGGCAGCAAGGGCAGAGAAAAUGAAGAUGGCAUGUUGGUGGAGCCAGCUCCAGCUGGGCAAGGCACUGGGGGCAGAGCUGAGCCACCCGCCUUGGAGCUGUCCCCUGGGACAGCCCUGGUCACCAUGGUCCCACGUCACCCAGCUGGUUCCCCUCGCUCAGAGAUGCCUAGCAGCAGUGUAGGUGUCUCUGACACAUCACCUACCCUGGGUCAGGCCAGUGGCAGCCACUCAGAAGUGCCAGCUGCUGCACAUCACACACGGACACCAGAGCUGGCAGAGCGACCAAUGAACACCAGCACAAAACCACCUCUCUACCCCUCUCCUGGUGUGACUGCUGCGGAUGCGAAAUCUCUGGGAGGGAGGACUGAAGAGCUCUUUGAUCUGAUGUCACCUGUGGGCAAUGACACAGGACUGCAAUCCCAGCACCAUCCUGGAGAUGUGCUGUUUGAAGUCACUGCUGAAAUCAAACCCAAGGAUUGGAUUCCUGAUGGUGAAAAUGAGUUCCAAAAGGGUCUGCUUGAAUCUCUGAAGAAUCAUAUCCAGAAGAACCUGAAGCUUUCUGCCAAUAGAGUCAGUGAAAUUAAGUUAAAGGAUGUCAAAAGGACAAAGGAUGCCAACCUGCUGCUCACCUUCUGGCUGCACCUGGAGCCAGAGGAGAGGAACGUGUCUCUGCUCGUGCGCUCACAGCUGGAGGAGCUGCUUGGCACCUCGGUGGGUGUGGAGAAGCUGCAGCUUGUUUCACUCUUCGUUGAAGAUGUGAACGAGUGCCAGGCUGGGCUUGACCUCUGUGGGGAGGAGGCAGAGUGCUUCAAUGGCGUGGGCACCUACCUGUGCCGCUGCAAGAAGGACUACGAGGACCAUUCUCCCAUCAAGUCCGGCACGCUCUGCAUCCGCGCUCCCCGAGCAGGGAUCAGCACCUUCCUCCGCCACGCUGACAUGCUGGCGGGGGCAGCCCUGGUGGCCGGCCUGGUGCUGCUGGUGGCCUUUGGUGGUCUCUGCGUCACGGCCCUGUGGGGCCAGGUCCCCGGGAGGAGCCCAAGGCCUGAGGAGGCGGCGGUGAGGGCCGCGGAGGAGCCAGCCAUGGAGGAGCCAGCCAUGGAGCUGCAGGGCCUGGGGGAGCUCCUGCAGCUCGAGCCCUUCCAGCUGAAGCUGCGGGCCAGGCCCCCCGAGUGGCUCUGGAGCGUCCGGGCCCACCCUGGCCAGGCGGGACCGCAGUUGCCAGAGCGGCCUCCCCCGCUCUGAGGGGGGCCGGGCCUCGGAGAGCCGUCCAGGUGCUCCUGCAUUUCCCCAGGUUUCUGCCGCAACCCCUGGCUGUGCCAACCCUUCUGCUGUGUUUUAUGGACCGUGAAUAUCCCACAACAGUGUUCCUCAUGUUGUAACUUAAUUUUUUUAAUGCUUGCUCAGCUUGAGGAACAAAAUGUUUGCUCCACCCUGCUGUAUGCUUGCUGAUUUACCCCUACUCGAGAUCUGCACAGGAAAAUUAAAAACUUGAUUUUUCUUUUAAAGAAAAAAGGAAAUAAGACGCUUUGGUGCUUAUUGUGAAAUUAAAAAUUAUUC